AUUGAACGCUGGCGGCAGGCCUAACACAUGCAAGUCGAACGAGUGGCGGACGGGUGAGUAAUGUCUGGGAAACUGCCUGAUGGAGGGGGAUAACUACUGGAAACGGUAGCUAAUACCGCAUACCAUCAGAUGUGCCCAGAUGGGAUUAGCUAGUUGGUGGGGUAACGGCUCACAAAGGCGACGAUCCCUCGCUGGUCUGAGAGGAAGACCGGCCCAACUGGAACGGAGACACGGUCCACACUCCUACGGAGGGCAGAAGUGGGAAAUAUUGCACAAUGGGCGAAAGCCUAAUGCAGCAAGGCCGCGUGUAUGAAGAAGGCCUUGGGGUUGUAAGGUACGUUCAGCGGGGAGGCGUUACCCGCAGAAGAAGCAACGGCUAACUCCGUGCCAGCAGCCGCGGUAAUAC
rnacentral:rRNA from 1 species